rnacentral:rRNA from 1 species
GCCGGCGACCAUACCACGUUGAAAGCGCCGGUUCUCGUCCGGUCACCGCAGUUAAGCGACGUUGGACCCGGUCAGUACUUUAAGCCCCCAAAUGCCAUGGUACGGCUGAGA